GCACCCAUCACUUGAGCGGUGUACACUGUACCACCCUUCUCCCACCCUUUCCCCUGAGUCCCCAAAGUUCACUGUACCAUUGUUAUGCUUUUGCGUCCUCAUUUGCGUUCCCACUUAUGAGUGAGAACAUACAGUGUUUGGUUUUCCAUUCCUGAGUUACUUCACUUAGAAUAAUGGUCUCUAAUUCCAUCCAGUUUGGGCCUUUCAGGAUUGGUUUCCUCUGCAGUACUUAUGAGGGCAGGAAGGUGGCAGCAUUUAGCUAUCAGUGAGUUCAUGCUGACGCUAGGAAGAGAAACAGAAAUAACCACUCCUAUCUUGGGACAUUUUUCCAACUGCCUUGAUUGCUUCUCUUUUCCAGCAGAACUGAGAAAAUAAGGCCACAGUUGAGAAUUUUGUGCUUGAUGGAGACAUCAAACCCAGAAAUGCUGGACUGGCUGAGCAACUUGAGUAAAGCUCAUCCUCCCACUUUUGUCAUGCAGGCCCUGGGAACUGCUUUAGGAAUGAGAAAAAUGGACAUAAAAUGAUCUGAUCAGGCUAUAGAAAAAUGUGCUGCUCAAAAGGAGAUUUCCAUCUCGAAAAGGCAAAUUACUGGGAAAAAUGAAUCUGUUUUCUCUGCCAAGCAUUGGAGACAUAGAAGGAGACUGCCUCCUGCUGGGGUCAGUAUUUUCUGCAUCCCAUGAACGGAAGUGAGAACAGCCUUGGGAGCUAAUGCCGAAGGUGGGAGAAUCUGAUGCCCUCAGUCUCCAGUGAACUAAAGCUGAAGAAGACUCAGAUUUCUGACACAAUGGUAACACCUAUCCCUUCUGCCUGUGACUGCCAGGGCUUGCUGUAUGAUGAUAAGAAGAGAAUGUGACACAGAGGAAGGGGAAAAAGUCCAUCCCUCUGGUAGUAGGGGGUUGUGGAAUGGGAGGGAAAAAGGGAGAAGGAGAAGUAGAAAAUACUCAUAUCUAAAUGUCUUCAUGUCUUCUGCUUGACUUUAGCCAGGAAUGAGUGUUAGGAAAGAGGGGAUGCUCUAGAAGAGGAAGCUAUGGAGUCUUAUUUGGGUCUAUGUAAAUAGCCCAACCACAGGCCCUUCUGCCCAAUCUAGGGCAGACCCAUACCAGAGUUUAACGUGGCAACAAAGUGUGGUUAGACAGAAGUUAGGCAUGGAGUUUAGCUUUUCAAGGCAGCUUUCCAUCACUACAAGGCCAAGGCAGAAAUUAAAUAUCUCAUUUCCUUUUUGCAGGGUAGAGCAAGCAGGGCAAAGGGGAAUGACUGAGCAAUCAGGUGACUUGAGAGCCAAAUAACAUUCCCAUUCACAGGGUCUGAAUUGGUGAAAUGUAUCAAGAUCUUCAGCUUGAGAUGGACCAUCAGAGCAGGAGGCCAGAAGAGAGACAUGGGGUUUGUUGUGAUAACUAGAGCUAAAGUGAGCUAAGUGAUCAGUAGAGCAACACUGGGCUCUGGCCAACCAAAAUAAACCAGACCAUGAGCUCCACCAGAUAAGGCCCUCUGCUACAAGUACAGUAGGUGAGCAGCACCCAGGCAGAGAGAGGCAUUGUCAGGAAGACUGAAGGAAAGAGGAGCAUCACAAGUGAUGAGGAGCUGAUCUUCACCUAGGCAAGGAGGUGGGAAAGUCUUCCUUCCCCCAGAUGCCCUGGGAGAGAAUUGGGGAACAGGAAGACUCUGGGAAACUGAGCAUUUCUUUUUAUCAAAAGAUAAAGAGCACAAGGAUUAUUUACAUCAUUGUAAUAACCUACAUUUUUUAGGCAUAAUUUUAGAAACAUAUCUUGGCUGCAUAUAUGUGAGAUUGCUUACAUUUUUAAACAUUACAAUUGCUUAUUAAAUAAAAGAAGGACCCAAAUAAGAAAGAAGAGAAAAAAUAAGCAAGAUGCUUAAAAUGACUUAUCUCCUUCAACAGUAGAGUUCUCCAGCAAGAGAAAUACUAAAACCUAAGCUGUUGCUUUAGCACUAAGAUUAAGGUUCCUUCCCAAGUGUUAGUCCCAGUAAAGAAGGGUAUGAGAAAAAAUUGUGAAGUGCAUGCAAUUUGUUGUUACUUCUUUCAUGAUUCAACAUUCUACUAAGCUACCUGAUUUACCCUGGUUUUGUUGUUGUUAUUGUUGUUUUUAGCCAUUACAAAUACUUUGCUCUCAGGGAAGACUCAGAUAUUAAUUAUAAAUCUCAGGGUGAGUUUAUUAAUGCUAAAUGAUGAACAGUGUUAUAUUGAAAGAUAUUUCAAAAACAACCAAAUCUAGUUUCCAUAGCAACUAUUUUGUAUAUGGAAGAGACACAGAAAUUAAAGAAAAAAGACCUACCACUUACUGUGUGACCUUGACCUCUUUGAUAAUGUUUCUUCAUUUGUGAAAUAAUGAAAAACUAAUCAUUACUCUACCAACUCUCUUCCUUUUUAUGAAGAUUGAAACCACAUUAGUGAAAGUGCUUUGUGGUCUUUGAAGAAUAUAGUUAUAAUUGUUAUGUCAAAGACCAAAAGAGAUAUUCAGGACUCAAGGCAGGCCUUCAGGGUUUCCCUGAGAUAGCACUGUGGGCAUUGUUUCAUGAUCUUUUACUAUAUGAGAAGUAGAGAAAGGAAGAGAGUUCUAAAUGUUCAUAUACUGUGGUCAUAAAAUGCUUAAAUUACUCCCUCCUAAUCCACUUCUAAGAUAAAUAUUGGUGAGGAGCCAGGAUAGGCACUUUUUUUGUUAUUUACAAUCGUGGGGAAGGAGUUGAGUUGAAAUCAAAGCCUUUAGUAAUUUAAUAUAAUGGUGUAUAGGAUCUGAGUGCCCUACUGCCUCCUAGCAAUAAAAAGUUUGACUUCUAGAGUCAAGAACUUCUGUUUUUGCUAGUCUCCCCAAAAUUGUCACUCUGUGAAUAUACACAUUUUCUGUUCACAGUAGUAGGGAUGUGGAUUUUUUGCUUAUCAUGCUAGUUACUCCCUUGAAAAACUGAGUGGUAUUUAUAUGAUUGAUAAGCUUAUAUACCACAUAAAACCCAUGCUCCAGCUUGAACAGUUAUGGAUGGGUAAUGAUAUGUCUUGGUUUGCUGAAAAUAUAAUUACAAAGUAAUUAUUAAUGACUUACCUUUCAGUCUCAAAAAUGUUCCAGUUCCAACAAUUAAUUAUAUAAUCAUUUUACUUAUACCUAUAUGCGAACCAGAAUUGGGACACAUGGGCACCCUCGAUAAAACCCAGAUUUAAUCAACUGCAAAAAUCUUCCUCAGAAAAAGAAAAAUUCAAAGUUUCAAGAACUAGAACUUCAUGUUAAUUUUUAACGAAUAGCUCUGACGUUGGUGACCUAUUUCAGAAAUAUUGUAGCAAUUUAAAAGAGUAAUACAGAAUAACAACUUUUGCUACUUUGUGGAUCAUACAAGCUAGUAUAAGAUUAGAAAGAGAAAAGAUCAGUGUAAUUGAUUUGAUAGAAUCAUAAAAAUUACUCUUAGCAGAAUUAGGGUGAAUGAAGUCUAUCUUCGAUAACUAGAUAAUAUUUAAAUAGUAAUCAUUUCAGACAUUUUGAGUGUCAUUUUGUAAAACUGGGUCCAUCUUGAUGAAGGUUCCAAGUCAUUUGAAAAGAAUAUAUAUCAUUUCAUCAUUGAAUAUAAUCUUCAGUUAACGUCAAUUAGCUCAAGUUGGUUGGUAAUGUUGUAUUAUUCAGGUCUAGUAUAUCCUCAUUAAUUUUCUUUCUACUUCUUCUAUCAAGUACCGACAGAAGAUAUGAGAGUGUUGAAUUCACUCUCAUGGUAUGAGACAUGAGAGUGUUGAAUUCAUUCUCACGGUGUUGAAUUCAUUUGAUAGAAUUCAGUACUUCUAUCAAGUACUGAUAUGAGAGUGUUCAAUGAACUCUAUCACCCUGCAGUGAUAUAGAACAAUAUAACUUAUUCCGCCUAUCUAGCUGUAAUUUUGUAUCCAUUAAUCAACCUCUCCCUAUAUCCCAUUUUCCCCAACCCUUACCAGCCUCUAGUGAGCAUUCUACUCUCCAUUUUUAUGAGAUCAACUUAUUUAGCUUCCAAAAAUGAGUGAGAAUAUGCGAUAUUUAUCAUUUUGUAUCUGGCUUAUUUCACUUCAUAUAAUAUUCUUCAAACUCCUCCAUGAUGCCACAAAUGACAGGACUCUUUUUUUAGCUUAGAGUCUAUUUUAUCUGAUGUAAGUUUAGCUACUGAUCACUUUUGGUUUUCCAUUGCAUGGAAUAUCUUUUUCCACCCCUUAACUUUAAAUCUAUGUGUGUUUUUAAAGGUGAAGUGAGUUUUUUAUAGGAAGCAUAUAGUUGGGUGUUGUUUUUUUAAUCCAUUCAUUUCAAAAAAUCCAUCCUUUUUUUAAUCCAAAUGGUUUUUUAAGCCAUUUUAU
rnacentral:lncRNA from 1 species